rnacentral:misc_RNA from 1 species
AAGUCGUAACAAGGUUUCCGUAGGUGAACCUGCGGAAGGAUCAUUAACAAAUUCCAUUUAUUUGGAUUUUAACAAUCCAUCCACCUUAUGUGCACUGUAAUUGUCUCUGGCGGUUUACUUGCUAUGAGUGAGUGGGAGACUCGUUUCCUACCUUGCUUGUAGUCGGUGGCCGUCGCUGGGAACUUGUUCCCAUUGAUAAACUUUACUUUAACAUUGACUAAAUAUGUUUUUAAAAUAAUAAAAACAACUUUUGACAACGGAUCUCUUGGCUCUC